rnacentral:rRNA from 1 species
CCCUUAGAUGUUCUGGGCCGCACGCGCGCUACACUGAUGGAUUCAACGAGUGUUGUUCUUCGGAGCAGAUCCUUGGUCGGAAGGCCUGGGCAAUCUUGUAAAUGUCCAUCGUGAUGGGGCUAGAUUUUUGCAAUUCUGAAUCUCCAACGAGGAAUUCCUAGUAAACGCAAGUCAUCAGCUUGCAUUGAUUACGUCCCUGCCCUUUGUACACACCGCCCGUCGCUACUACCGAUUGGAUGGCUUAGUGAGACCCUCGGACCGAUAGGCUGUCGCCGCGGCAACGUGGCGACCGGCCCGUCGGGAAGAAGGUCAAACUUGACUGUCUAGAGGAAGUAAAAGUCGUAACA